rnacentral:rRNA from 1 species
AGAGUUUGAUCCUGGCUCAGGACGAACGCUGGCGGCGUGCUUAACACAUGCAAGUCGAGCGGACCCCAACCACUCGCAAGAGUGGGGAAGGGUUAGCGGCGAACGGGUGAGUAACACGUGAGGAACCUGCCUCGGAGACCGGGAUAACCCCCCGAAAGGGGAGCUAAUACCGGAUGCCCUCAGUAGAUCGCAUGGUCCGCUGAGGAGAUGGAUUCCGCUCCGAGAGGGCCUCGCGGCCUAUCAGCUUGUUGGUGAGGUAACGGCUCACCAAGGCGUCGACGGGUAGCUGGUCUGAGAGGACGAUCAGCCACACUGGGACUGAGACACGGCCCAGACUCCUACGGGAGGCAGCAGUGGGGAAUCUUGCGCAAUGGGCGAAAGCCUGACGCAGCAACGCCGCGUGGGGGAUGAAGGCUCUCGGGUUGUAAACCCCUUUCAGCAGGGACGAUUAUGACGGUACCUGCAGAAGAAGGACCGGCCAACUACGUGCCAGCAGCCGCGGUAAUACGUAGGGUCCAAGCGUUGUCCGGAUUUAUUGGGCGUAAAGAGCUCGUAGGCGGUUCGGUAAGUCGGGUGUGAAAACCCCAGGCUCAACCUGGGGACGCCACUCGAUACUGCUGUGACUUGAGUUCGGUAGGGGAGCACGGAAUUCUGGUGUAGCGGUGAAAUGCGCAGAUAUCAGGAGGACACCGGUGGCGAAAGGCCGGUUGCUCUGGGCCGAAACUGACGCUUAGGAGCGAAAAGCGUGGGGUUAGCAGACAGGAUUUAGAAUACCCCUGUUAGUCCACGCCGUAAACGUUGGGCACUAGGUGUGGGACCCUAUCGACGGGAUCCGUGCCGUAGCUAACGCAUUAAGUGCCCCGCCUGGGGAGUACGCCGCAAGGCUAAACUCAAAGGAAUUGACGGGGGCCCGCACAAGCAGCGGAGCAUGUUGCUUAAUUCGAGGCAACGCGAAGAACCUUACCUGGGCUUGACAUGUAGGGAAAAGCCGCAGAGAUGCGGUGUCCUUAUGGGCCCUACACAGGUGGUGCAUGGCUGUCGUCAGCUCGUGUCGUGAGAUGUUGGGUUAAGUCCCGCAACGAGCGCAACCCUUGUCCUAUGUUGCCAGCGGGUAAUGCCGGGGACUCGUAGGAGACUGCCGGGGUCAACUCGGAGGAAGGUGGGGACGACGUCAAGUCAUCAUGCCCCUUACGUCCAGGGCUGCAAACAUGCUACAAUGGCCGGUACAAAGGGCUGCUAUCCCGCGAGGGUGAGCGAAUCCCAGAAAGCCGGUCUCAGUUCGGAUUGGAGUCUGCAACUCGACUCCAUGAAGCUGGAGUUGCUAGUAAUCCCGGAUCAGCAACGCCGGGGUGAAUACGUUCCCGGGCCUUGUACACACCGCCCGUCACACCACGAAAGUUGGUACACCCGAAGCCAGUGGCCCAACCCUUUGGGAGGGAGCUGUCGAAGGUGGGACCAGCGAUUGGGGUGAAGUCGUACAAGGUAGCCGUACCGGAAGGUGCGGCUGGAUCACCUCCUU